GACGAACGCUGGCGGCGCGCCUAACACAUGCAAGUCGAACGGUAACAGGCCUUCGGACGCUGACGAGUGGCGAACGGGUGAGUAAUACAUCGGAACGUGCCCAGUCGUGGGGGAUAACUACUCGAAAGAGUAGCUAAUACCGCAUACGAUCUGAGGAUGAAAGCGGGGGACCUUCGGGCCUCGCGCGAUUGGAGCGGCCGAUGGCAGAUUAGGUAGUUGGUGGGAUAAGGGGCUCACCAAGGCGACGAUCCGUAGCGUGGUUUGAGAGGACGACCAGCCACACUGGGACUGGAGACACGGCCCAG
rnacentral:rRNA from 1 species